CAAAAGCAUCAGGACAGAACUUCACCAUCACUGACUUCAGAGCUGAACACAGUGGGAAUUAUUACUGUGAAGCCCAGAACAGAAGAGGACGUCAUAACUCCACCUUACAUCUGAUUGUUGUGGCAGGUACGUUUUUACCUGGCUGAUUAACAGAAGACGAUCUCCUGGCAAAGUGACGAACAAAUUCUGCUAAUGAGGAAUAGGAAAACUCUGAGCUACACCGCUGAACCAAAUGAACCCAUAGAGACUAUAGAGUUGGACUCUGGUCCUGAUUGUAGGACUGAGUGAACUCCUCAGCCUUGAACCAGAACUGUAUGUGACUUUCUCUGAUACAGUCAAACCAGAGGGGAGUCACCUGGAUGGAAACAGAGAGAAGUACAACAUUGUAGCAGUCCAGUGGAGGACGUGGAUACAUUAAACUUCAACUCCAUCAACAUGUUCAGUUGUAGACGUCAGCCGCAGCAUGUAGCAAAAUAUUUAAAUAGAAUGUAGCUUUAGUUUUACCUGUGCAGGGACAUUACAUUAAGCACAGGAUUUAACUCAGAAAAAUGUUUUUUUCUGAAAUACUGCCCUUUUAUGUCACACCUGUCCUAGCAUUGAAUACCAAUAAAGUCUGUUCAAAACAGACACAUCAAACUCGAAGCUAAGUAAAUCACAGCAUGUACAGUCUAUAUUUAAACAGUGAAAUCAAACAGAAGCCCAGCUCUAUCACAGUUUGCUAGUGUUGCAGUGGCUGAAUAAACAACUCUGCAGUUUGAUCAUCAUUUCAGUUUCCUCUCACUGCUGCAGAGGGCGACAGUGUACAGAAAGUUUUGGAUUUAUGUUUAUUAUUCAGAAAGAAAAGUUUGUAAUUAUCAUUAAUGAAUAAAAAUUAUUAUUUCUUACAAAUAUCCUAAAAUAAGGAUCAUUUCUUGGUUGAGAAAUUGUAUAAAAUGCUUGUGCACCUCAGCCUAAAAUGAGGUUCUGGGAAAGUUAGGACAAUUUUCUAGUCUGCAAAGGUUUAUAAAUACAGACCCUGUCCCAUCAUACCAAUAAUAUGUCUUUCAUAGAGAUUGAAGAGAUUAAUCUCCAUCCUGUGUCUUCACAGUAUAAUGAAAUGUGUUGCUUUCAUAGGAAAGUCUUGCUGGCAGCAGCCAAAGCAACACAUCUCUCUGUCUCUCACUUUAAGAUGUACUUUUACACUUUUUCUGUGAUCAGCAACAUUAUUAGACAUGGAAAACACAGUGAAGUGACAUCCAUUAUUUUCUGAGAUUUACUGUGUAGUUUUCAAGAAUAGCAUGGCUAUAAGAUAGAUAAGAUUAUUUAUCUGGAGGGAAAUUGUUGUGCAGCAGUUGCAAUGCAAAAUAGGAACAAAUGCAAAUAUAAUUAGUCCAAACACAAUAUAUAUAGAUGUGUGUGUGUAGGCUAUGUAUUAUCCAUACUAUAUGGACAUAGGCCUAUUUUAGGGGGGCUGAAGCUAUACCCUACAACCACAGGGUCUGAAAAUAAGUAGUUUUUUGUCUGCCACUCAGAAAUUCUAUCUGCCACUUAUUAAAUGUAUGUGCUAAAUAAAGAAAUAGCCUUCAGCUAAUUGAGGAAUCAUUUAAUGUUAAUAAUGUAAUUUAAUGUUUAAUCUUUUUAUGUAUGCAUGCACAAAGGACUCAAGUCUUUUAUAUCUCCACCUUACUAAACAACCAGGUGAUUCAAUUGAAGAUGCACAAUCAAAAUAUAUCAUUACUCUUUAUGUCAGCCACGAUAAGAAAGAAGCACAUUAGACAGGCACAGAGUAAAAUAAGUUGCUUGAUGAGCAGUGGACAAGAAGUCACUUUAUAAUAAUUCAACAGAAAGAUAAUUUGGGUGAAGUCAUGGCAUUAAAUAAUAUCAUAUAACGUUCACCAAAGAGUAGGCUAUUAUCCAGCUCAAUUCAAAGCCCAACGUUCAACCACCAGUGAAUGAGUCCUUAUCCCACUUCCAAUCUCCUCAAGAGUCCACAGCUCAAAGAAACCCUCCACUUCCCAGCAAGGAAACAAAAAAUACUGAGUUUCAAUUCAAAAGUUUGCCAAACGAAAAUAAAAGCAAGUGCUGCCUCUAGUGUCUAAUAGACAAGCUGAGUGAUUGUCCGACAACACCAGAGUUACUUUCCGUAGAUCGGCCGCUGCUGCUGGUAAGCAGCGCACUGAUUGGCACUCAGGACGCACUGGUUGUCACUCAGGACGCACUGGCUGGCACUCAGGACUCACUGGUUGUCACUCAGGACGCACUGGCUGUCACUCAGGACGCACUGGCUGGCACUCAGGACUCACUGGUUGUCACUCAGGACGCACUGGCUGCCACUCAGGACUGUGCUUCUUCCGGACUCGUGAGUUUGGUUGGAAACGCCACCACAGGUAUUUCCUGAGCUGACUGUACUGAAGCUGUGUGCGUGUAUAGCGUGUGACGCAGGCAUGCGCCGAUCCCUGAACUAAUGUGUCUUUCUUUUCUUUCCCUGUCCCUCAAAGUGGCUGAUAGCCUGAAGGUGUCAUUCCCUGCCCCUACCCCACACCAUAUCUUGCAAUUAUGAGAAAAGAAGCGGUAGCCUAAAUAUGAGAAAGGUUAAGGAAGCUUAUCAUCGCUGAACAAGGCCUAUAACCUUUACUGAAAGGACAAUAAUUGCGCUAUUAGAUUUAAUCUGCUUUUAUUUCCUUCUCUGUAUGAGACACUGGGAAUUACUGAUGUUAUUUAAUGUGGAUGGCAUUAUUAUUAGUAGCCUAUGUCUACAUUGCACAUACAGUAUAAUCUGUCUCAACAAUGACUGCGGUCAAGCCAGCCCCGCUUUGUUUUGUGAUGUGUUUUCUAGGCAUUACGGUCACAACAGGUCUCAGCAGAUUUCUAAAUAGUGAGCUUCUGGUGAACAUGAUGUAAUAUUCAAUAUGUGUGGCAGAAAUGAAAGGUGGAAUGGAAUAAUUAAAUAAACGGUAUUAUAAAUAUCUAAAAAAUGUCUGAUUU